rnacentral:rRNA from 1 species
UAACAAAAACAUGUUCUUUUGAUUUAUGAUUWAAGAUCGGUUCUGCUCACUGAAUUUAAAUAAUUUAAAGAGCUGCAGUAUAUUAACUGUGCGAAGGUAGCAAAGUCAUUUGUUUUUUUAUUGAAAACUGGGAUGAAAGAUCUGAUAAGAUAUAGACUGUUUCAAUUUUAUUAUUAGAAUUUAAAUUUUAAGUUAAAAUUCUUAGAUUUAUUUAUUAGACGAUAAGACCCUAUAGAAUUUAAUAAAGCUUAUUUUUUUGUUAUUAUUUUAUUAAAUUUAAAUCAUACAGUUUUUAUUUGAUUGGGAGGAUUACUAAAUUUGUUAAACUUUAGUUUUUAUUUUUUCAAUAGUUUUUGAUUUUUUGAAUUUUUAAUAAUAUAAGAUAAAAUUACCUUAGGGAUAACAGCGUAAUACUUUUGGAGAGACCAUAUUAAUAGAAGUGUUUACGACCUCGAUGUUGAAUUAAGAUAAAAAUUAAAUGUAGUUGUUUAAUAUUUAAGUCUGUUCGACUUUUAAAAUCUUACGUGAUCUGAGUUC